rnacentral:rRNA from 1 species
UACGUAGGGUGCAAGCGUUAAUCGGAAUUACUGGGCGUAAAGCGUGCGCAGGCGGUGAUGUAAGACAGUUGUGAAAUCCCCGGGCUUAACCUGGGAAUUGCGCUUGAAACUAGCGGGCUUGAGUGUGGCAGAGGGGGGUGGAAUUCCACGUGUAGCAGUGAAAUUCGUAGAUAUCGGGAGGAACACCGGUGGCGAAGGCGGCGACCUGGGUAGACACUGACGCUGAGGUGCGAAAGCGUGGGGAGCAAACAGG